AGAGACAUGGAGCUGCUUUCUCCGGCAGCGGCUGAGAUCGGCUUCAGAGAGCGGCGCUCAGAGCCCGUGUGAGGGGGCCUCUCUGGGAGAAAGGAGCGGAGACAAUACAGGUUGAAAAAAAAGCCCGGGUACUCGGGGAGUUCCUGAUUCAAUACACUUGCCAACUGCUGGUUGGGACGAUGGUUGGUCAGUCAGAGAGAUAAAAGGUCAGGGAGGUCGCAACCCUCAAUAAAUCCUGCCGCCAGGUUUCCCAUUCCUGAGCAUUGACACCAGCAGCAAAAUGAAUCAAAACUCCUUCUUCUUACAUAAUGGUUUGCUCCUGAAAUCUUCCUGCACUCUGCUGAUAUCACUCAGUAUCUCUCUGUUUGGUAUCCCUCACCACGAGGGUCUAAUUGCUGCCUCUGUCAGUGUCUCUCACUCUUGCAGCUACUCCAGAUCCUGAGCCAACAGAAA